UACAGAGGGGGCAAGCGUUAUUCGGAAUUAUUGGGCGUAAAGGGCGCGUAGGCGGCCUGACACGUGGAUGGUGAAAUCCCUCGGCUUAACCGAGGAACUGCCAUCCAGACUGUUUGGCUCGAGACCGGGAGAGGUGAGUGGAAUUCCCAGUGUAGCGGUGAAAUGCGUAGAUAUUGGGAGGAACACCAGUGGCGAAGGCGGCUCACUGGACCGGUACUGACGCUGAUGCGCGAAAGCGUGGGGAGCAAACGGG
rnacentral:rRNA from 1 species